CGAUGAUUCUGGUAGGCGGUUACAGCGGUGAAUCUCGUCUCGGGGAAGGUGAAGGUUUUGAAGUUCUCCGUGCGAGGAUCGGGGCCAGAACCUGGCGGCGAGGGCGCGACCACCACGUGGCACCUUGGAUCAUCUGUUGGAAUCGUUAUCGGAAGACGACGGUGAUCCGAAGGAGUAAGAGAAGUCCCGAGGAAGGGAAAUGCAAGAGGAAAAAAACACACGUGAGGACCUUUCUAUGUUUCGAAGGAAGAGCCACCGCAGGGGGGCGGUCACAAUGUUUGACAGCCACGAGAGACUCGGUGACUAAUUAGUGUAAAAACUAACCCCCGACCCACUCCGGCAACACGACACCCUCGUCCUUCCUCUUGCGCACACUUUUCUACGAGCAUAUGCCGGGGCAUGUGUCUCUUUGGAUACACGAAAAGAACAGAACCACAGGGUCGGUGGGGAGGAAGAAGAGAAGAAGAAAAGUCAUCCUCGCGAAGAGCCAAGUGUAUGUGUGUGUGUGGCCUUCCGACACGGUCUACCAGAAUCUUUGAAUACGCGAUUUUCUUCCUCUCAUCUCCUUCUCACCCCCGCCAAUUGCUAUAUUCUAUUUUUUUUAUCGUUUCCAUGCCAGAGAUAGACAAAAUAUUAAUCAAGAUUCAUUACAAUAAAUUACAUUCCAAAGCUAGACUACUUAAUGUUUACACAUUUUGCAACAAGAAGGCUCCGAGUACAAAGGGUUAAUAUUAAUAUUCUCAAGGAUCAUACGCGUAAAACAAGCAUCAUAAUGUAUCGAAUUUCGUCGCGUUUCUCAACCGUGAACGCUCCACGACGCAAAGUCCCAAUUAAGAAACCGGAAUCGUUGAGCGUUUUAGCGCCGAAUUCUGACCCGACUGAUUUUUUACAAAGCCCGGUGGCGUGCCUCUCUAAGCGCAAUUAAAGGAACAAACUGCUCGAUGGCACGUGAAAGAAGGGCCCGACAACCACGAGUCAAAAUUCUUUCCACGCGUUAAGUAAUAAAUCCUCGAAUGGAACGCGAGCCAACGCCACGAGUCGUUCGGCUUCGAAGCGCGCGCGUCCAGAAAAUUCGUUUGAACAAAACAGUCGAACCGAUAUGGUUUGCUUCCGUGCUUGUUCAUACAUUCUUAUCUUCCUCUGAAUAAACUUCACCCGAUAGUCAUUCCAAAACUCGAAGUCUUAGCUUUCGGACAACGAAAUAAAAACGAUUAAACUCGUACCAGUAAUUUGCCUCGCUUUCACAGUCCUGCAUCGAAAUUGGACGAGUCAUCGAGCGAGUUUGUCGGCAAAAGUGACUGUCCCGCGUUUAUAAUAAUCGACGACACGUCGAACGAGAACGUAGUUGUUCAGAUUUUGGAAUAGAUAGAUCAGGACCAGGACGAGCCAGAUGAAAAGCAACCCCGAGAAAAGGAAUUGUGACAUUGUCCUAGAACAGUUUUCGAGCGAUUAAAGAGCAAUGGUAGAGGAUAAUAAAUAAUGAAUGUAGGAUUAGGAAUCAGACUGAGUAAUGAUUACAAAAGUGAUCGCUGGCCAGCUCUGUCCUGAAACAGGUCUGGUGUCGGAGGGUCGCGCUCCGUCCUCUCUUUGACUCACGACUGACCAAUACAACCGACGUCUGAAUCGAAGCAAAUUCGAAACAUUAAUCGGUAUGCCAAUACGUCUCGGUGCCGAACCGCUUGAUUUGCAAUGGUGCCUGACACGCUGAAUUUGGCACGGAUACGUAGGGACGAUUAUUUUUGGCGCAACCGCAGGUGCAUUAGGACACAAUGAAGAGUAACGGAAUCGAGAGGUUCUCGAAGUUCGACGCGCGAAGUAGAGCGUAACAAAUUGUUUAUUAAAACAAAUCUACUCGAUUGUAUCAUAGAAAAAAAGGUAUAUUUGUACUUCAAGCAUUAAAGCAACGAUGGUACCGCGGUUUUAGACUAUUCGAUACUCUUUCCGUUUGUAAUUUCCAGCCACUACCAAAGGAAUUCUUUUGAAAACCGUAAACACGUCCUCCAAGGCUUCGCUGUCUUUCCCAGGCUUCCAGAGCUUCGUUUACGCUACACAUGUUUACGCUACUUGCGUUAGGCUCGCGGUUGAGUUUCUAUCGCCGUUCCAUCCUGGUGACAGGACUGUGGGAUUAAUAAGGCGCGGACAACGGAAGAUUCCAAAAAUUUACAAACUAUAAAACAAGAACAAAGGUGCACAGGAAAAUACGGUGCAAACUUUACCCUGUAAUGUAGUCAUUGACUCAUUCAGUAGGCGAUUAAGUUUCUACGAUCAGCAGGGCAUAAAUCUGAAGAUCGUAACGCGUUAAAACAAUUAUUGCUACUAAUUACUCGUAAGACGAUAAUAGCUUCUAAUAGAACCAUGCCUCAUUGUCGUAUUUUGUCGUAGGCUGCAGUCUAUGCACAGCUGAACGGCCAAGUAAAUCGUUUCGUGGAGAAGAAAGAAAAAAUGAAAAAAUUGACGGGACGUCCUGGGGGACAAGGGAAUCGUCCCGUAAAAAUGUUACCGCGCGUCUCUCGCGGUCUUAUAAUUUCUCGCGAAGGAUAGGCUCGUAUCUCAGGUCAAUUAAGGGGAACUCGUUCGUAAACGACAAACACGUGGAACGCGACACCGACGCGGCGCGUCCCGAUGCGAAGCUUUUCUUCCCUGCAUCCCCUCGUUCUACUUUAUUGCGUAGGUGUUUCUCUUUUGCGUCGCAUUCGGAAUGAAUUACGCUACGCAACGUCGUUCGCACGACUAAAUUUCUUUUACGCGGAAGACAAAGCCUCGAGAAUGGUCGUUAAUCGUUUAACCCCGCUGUCAUCGCUACGGCGACGUUAAUUCUACUAGCUUGGUGCAUAAAUAAUCUCGUCCUUCAGUUGUUGACUUGAAGAAUACAAGAAUUACUGUUGCACCAACCUAACAUCAGAGAUGGUCAAAGUUUUAUUCGAAUAGUGCCAGCAGAAAUUAG